GGGUGAAAAGCCCGCUCGCCGGAAGACCAAGGGUUCCUGUCCAACGUUAAUCGGGGCAGGGUGAGUCGACCCCUAAGGCGAGGCCGAAAGGCGUAGUCGAUGGGAAACAGGUUAAUAUUCCUGUACUUGGUGUUACUGCGAAGGGGGGACGGAGAAGGCUAUGUUGGCCGGGCGACGGUUGUCCCGGUUUAAGCGUGUAGGCUGGUUUUCCAGGCAAAUCCGGAAAAUCAAGGCUGAGGCGUGAUGACGAGGCACUACGGUGCUGAAGCAACAAAUGCCCUGCUUCCAGGAAAAGCCUCUAAGCAUCAGGUAACAUCAAAUCGUACCCCAAACCGACACAGGUGGUCAGGUAGAGAAUACCAAGGCGCUUGAGAGAACUCGGGUGAAGGAACUAGGCAAAAUGGUGCCGUAACUUCGGGAGAAGGCACGCUGAUAUGUAGGUGAAGCGACUUGCUCGUGGAGCUGAAAUCAGUCGAAGAUACCAGCUGGCUGCAACUGUUUAUUAAAAACACAGCACUGUGCAAACACGAAAGUGGACGUAUACGGUGUGACGCCUGCCCGGUGCCGGAAGGUUAAUUGAUGGGGUCAGCGCAAGCGAAGCUCUUGAUCGAAGCCCCGGUAAACGGCGGCCGUAACUAUAACGGUCCUAAGGUAGCGAAAUUCCUUGUCGGGUAAGUUCCGACCUGCACGAAUGGCGUAAUGAUGGCCAGGCUGUCUCCACCCGAGACUCAGUGAAAUUGAACUCGCUGUGAAGAUGCAGUGUACCCGCGGCAAGACGGAAAGACCCCGUGAACCUUUACUAUAGCUUGACACUGAACAUUGAGCCUUGAUGUGUAGGAUAGGUGGGAGGCUUUGAAGUGUGGACGCCAGUCUGCAUGGAGCCGACCUUGAAAUACCACCCUUUAAUGUUUGAUGUUCUAACGUGGACCCGUAAUCCGGGUUGCGGACAGUGUCUGGUGGGUAGUUUGACUGGGGCGGUCUCCUCCUAAAGAGUAACGGAGGAGCACGAAGGUUGGCUAAUCCUGGUCGGACAUCAGGAGGUUAGUGCAAUGGCAUAAGCCAGCUUGACUGCGAGCGUGACGGCGCGAGCAGGUGCGAAAGCAGGUCAUAGUGAUCCGGUGGUUCUGAAUGGAAGGGCCAUCGCUCAACGGAUAAAAGGUACUCCGGGGAUAACAGGCUGAUACCGCCCAAGAGUUCAUAUCGACGGCGGUGUUUGGCACCUCGAUGUCGGCUCAUCACAUCCUGGGGCUGAAGUAGGUCCCAAGGGUAUGGCUGUUCGCCAUUUAAAGUGGUACGCGAGCUGGGUUUAGAACGUCGUGAGACAGUUCGGUCCCUAUCUGCCGUGGGCGCUGGAGAACUGAGGGGGGCUGCUCCUAGUACGAGAGGACCGGAGUGGACGCAUCACUGGUGUUCGGGUUGUCAUGCCAAUGGCACUGCCCGGUAGCUAAAUGCGGAAGAGAUAAGUGCUGAAAGCAUCUAAGCACGAAACUUGCCCCGAGAUGAGUUCUCCCUGACUCCUUGAGAGUCCUGAAGGAACGUUGAAGACGACGACGUUGAUAGGCCGGGUGUGUAAGCGCAGCGAUGCGUUGAGCUAACCGGUACUAAUGAACCGUGAGGCUUAACCUU
rnacentral:rRNA from 1 species